GGGUAGGCGUAGGCGGCUGAUUAAGUCAGCGGUGAAAGGUAGCAGCUUAACUGUUUUACAUGCCGUUGAUACUGGUUAGCUUGAGUUGACAGAAGGCAGAUAGAAUUCCUGGUGUAGCGGUGAAAUGCUUAGAUACCAGGAGGAAUACCGAUUGCGAAGGCAGUCUGCUGCAGUCACACUGACGCUGAGGCUCGAAGGUGCGGGGAUCAAACAGGAUUAGAUACCCUGGU
rnacentral:rRNA from 1 species